rnacentral:rRNA from 1 species
GGUUAAGCGACUAAGCGUACACGGUGGAUGCCCUGGCAGUCAGAGGCGAUGAAGGACGUGCUAAUCUGCGAUAAGCGUCGGUAAGGUGAUAUGAACCGUUAUAACCGGCGAUUUCCGAAUGGGGAAACCCAGUGUGAUUCGUCACACUAUCAUUAACUGAAUCCAUAGGUUAAUGAGGCGAACCGGGGGAACUGAAACAUCUAAGUACCCCGAGGAAAAGAAAUCAACCGAGAUUCCCCCAGUAGCGGCGAGCGAACGGGGAGCAGCCCAGAGCCUGAAUCAGUGUGUGUGUUAGUGGAAGCGUCUGGAAAGGCGCGCGAUACAGGGUGACAGCCCCGUACACAAAAAUGCACAUACUGUGAGCUCGAUGAGUAGGGCGGGACACGUGGUAUCCUGUCUGAAUAUGGGGGGACCAUCCUCCAAGGCUAAAUACUCCUGACUGACCGAUAGUGAACCAGUACCGUGAGGGAAAGGCGAAAAGAACCCCGGCGAGGGGAGUGAAAAAGAACCUGAAACCGUGUACGUACAAGCAGUGGGAGCCUCUUAAUGGGGUGACUGCGUACCUUUUGUAUAAUGGGUCAGCGACUUAUAUUCUGUAGCAAGGUUAACCGAAUAGGGGAGCCGAAGGGAAACCGAGUCUUAACUGGGCGUUAAGUUGCAGGGUAUAGACCCGAAACCCGGUGAUCUAGCCAUGGGCAGGUUGAAGGUUGGGUAACACUAACUGGAGGACCGAACCGACUAAUGUUGAAAAAUUAGCGGAUGACUUGUGGCUGGGGGUGAAAGGCCAAUCAAACCGGGAGAUAGCUGGUUCUCCCCGAAAGCUAUUUAGGUAGCGCCUCGUGAAUUCAUCUCCGGGGGUAGAGCACUGUUUCGGCAAGGGGGUCAUCCCGACUUACCAACCCGAUGCAAACUGCGAAUACCGGAGAAUGUUAUCACGGGAGACACACGGCGGGUGCUAACGUCCGUCGUGAAGAGGGAAACAACCCAGACCGCCAGCUAAGGUCCCAAAGUCAUGGUUAAGUGGGAAACGAUGUGGGAAGGCCCAGACAGCCAGGAUGUUGGCUUAGAAGCAGCCAUCAUUUAAAGAAAGCGUAAUAGCUCACUGGUCGAGUCGGCCUGCGCGGAAGAUGUAACGGGGCUAAACCAUGCACCGAAGCUGCGGCAGCGACACUAUGUGUUGUUGGGUAGGGGAGCGUUCUGUAAGCCUGUGAAGGUGUACUGUGAGGUAUGCUGGAGGUAUCAGAAGUGCGAAUGCUGACAUAAGUAACGAUAAAGCGGGUGAAAAGCCCGCUCGCCGGAAGACCAAGGGUUCCUGUCCAACGUUAAUCGGGGCAGGGUGAGUCGACCCCUAAGGCGAGGCCGAAAGGCGUAGUCGAUGGGAAACAGGUUAAUAUUCCUGUACUUGGUGUUACUGCGAAGGGGGGACGGAGAAGGCUAUGUUGGCCGGGCGACGGUUGUCCCGGUUUAAGCGUGUAGGCUGGUUUUCCAGGCAAAUCCGGAAAAUCAAGGCUGAGGCGUGAUGACGAGGCACUACGGUGCUGAAGCAACAAAUGCCCUGCUUCCAGGAAAAGCCUCUAAGCAUCAGGUAACAUCAAAUCGUACCCCAAACCGACACAGGUGGUCAGGUAGAGAAUACCAAGGCGCUUGAGAGAACUCGGGUGAAGGAACUAGGCAAAAUGGUGCCGUAACUUCGGGAGAAGGCACGCUGAUAUGUAGGUGAAGUCCCUCGCGGAUGGAGCUGAAAUCAGUCGAAGAUACCAGCUGGCUGCAACUGUUUAUUAAAAACACAGCACUGUGCAAACACGAAAGUGGACGUAUACGGUGUGACGCCUGCCCGGUGCCGGAAGGUUAAUUGAUGGGGUUAGCGGUAACGCGAAGCUCUUGAUCGAAGCCCCGGUAAACGGCGGCCGUAACUAUAACGGUCCUAAGGUAGCGAAAUUCCUUGUCGGGUAAGUUCCGACCUGCACGAAUGGCGUAAUGAUGGCCAGGCUGUCUCCACCCGAGACUCAGUGAAAUUGAACUCGCUGUGAAGAUGCAGUGUACCCGCGGCAAGACGGAAAGACCCCGUGAACCUUUACUAUAGCUUGACACUGAACAUUGAGCCUUGAUGUGUAGGAUAGGUGGGAGGCUUUGAAGUGUGGACGCCAGUCUGCAUGGAGCCGGCCUUGAAAUACCACCCUUUAAUGUUUGAUGUUCUAACGUUGGCCCCUGACCGGGGUUGCGGACAGUGUCUGGUGGGUAGUUUGACUGGGGCGGUCUCCUCCUAAAGAGUAACGGAGGAGCACGAAGGUUGGCUAAUCCUGGUCGGACAUCAGGAGGUUAGUGCAAUGGCAUAAGCCAGCUUGACUGCGAGCGUGACGGCGCGAGCAGGUGCGAAAGCAGGUCAUAGUGAUCCGGUGGUUCUGAAUGGAAGGGCCAUCGCUCAACGGAUAAAAGGUACUCCGGGGAUAACAGGCUGAUACCGCCCAAGAGUUCAUAUCGACGGCGGUGUUUGGCACCUCGAUGUCGGCUCAUCACAUCCUGGGGCUGAAGUAGGUCCCAAGGGUAUGGCUGUUCGCCAUUUAAAGUGGUACGCGAGCUGGGUUUAGAACGUCGUGAGACAGUUCGGUCCCUAUCUGCCGUGGGCGCUGGAGAACUGAGGGGGGCUGCUCCUAGUACGAGAGGACCGGAGUGGACGCAUCACUGGUGUUCGGGUUGUCAUGCCAAUGGCACUGCCCGGUAGCUAAAUGCGGAAGAGAUAAGUGCUGAAAGCAUCUAAGCACGAAACUUGCCCCGAGAUGAGUUCUCCCUGACUCCUUGAGAGUCCUGAAGGAACGUUGAAGACGACGACGUUGAUAGGCCGGGUGUGUAAGCGCAGCGAUGCGUUGAGCUAACCGGUACUAAUGAACCGUGAGGCUUAACCUU